CCUACGGGAGGCAGCAGUGAGGAAUAUUGGUCAAUGGACGAGAGUCUGAACCAGCCAAGUAGCGUGAAGGAUGACUGCCCUAUGGGUUGUAAACUUCUUUUAUAUGGGAAUAAAACAGGGUAUGCAUACCCUCUUGUAUGUACCAUAUGAAUAAGGAUCGGCUAACUCCGUGCCAGCAGCCGCGGUAAUACGGAGGAUCCGAGCGUUAUCCGGAUUUAUUGGGUUUAAAGGGAGCGUAGGUGGAUUGUUAAGUCAGUUGUGAAAGUUUGCGGCUCAACCGUAGAAUUGCAGUUGAAACUGGCAGCCUUGAGUACAGUAGAGGUGGGCGGAAUUCGUGGUGUAGCGGUGAAAUGCUUAGAUAUCACGCAGAACUCCGAUUGCGAAGGCAGCUCACUGGACUGCAACUGACGCUGAUGCACGAAAGUGUGGGUAUCGAACAGGAUUAGAUACCCGUGUAGUC
rnacentral:rRNA from 1 species